UUACUUUAUUUUCAUGACAGUUUAUUUAUAUUUAAGGUUUAUUGAUGUUAAAAUGCAACAUUAAUCCACAGAAUAUAUAUAUCAAUUUUCAAAUUUUUGAAAUUAUUAUUUAGUUACUUAGUUCCUAAUAAAUGUUUGGUACCCAUAGGUCAUAUACAUGAUAUGGACUAUCACUAUCAGCUGAAACUGAUUUCUUAAAUGAAAGUGUUAAAUUGUUGAAACUAAGGAUAGCUGUUCAGCUUGUUCCUUUUUCCUUGUUAUCCUCAUUCAGAGCUUCUUUUUACAGAUAGGGAUGAAAUUCAGGUGAUUUUUUUUUUUUUUGCUUAAACAGUUUGUGAAUUUUCUAUUGAACAGCUACAUGAGAAAUAAAAACUUAUUUGUCUUACAGAAUUAUGACACUGUAGUAGUUAAUUAUUACUUUGACCCUUUGUACAGAUACUUAUGUUGCCUUAAAUGAAACAUGAUCUUUAUGAUUUUUGUUUUAGUUAAUGUACUGAUUUCAUAUGUGAAUGAAGUUUGAAUUAAAUAAAAACUAUUCCUUUUUUGUGUUUGUUUUAAAAACUGCUAUUAAGAACCUAAAGGUAUUGCAUCUUAAAUAGAAACCACCUUAUUAUAUAGAAGACACUUUAUAUUUCAAAGGAAAUUAUUUCCUCAGAUCUAAUAAAUAAUUUUAUUUUGUACUCCUGUAAUUCCAGCUGUGAGAUUAAAUGAAUAUUUCCCAAAAGAUGCUACAAAACAUUGCAGUCACUUCAGAAGAUGUGGGAUGUAAAUAUUUAUAAGGCUUUCAAGAUUUCAAGUCACAAACUCUAGAAUUGGGAAUGUCAGCAGCAUUUAUUUAUUUAUUUAUUUAUUUCAGUUACUCUGAAUAUUAUCACAGAAGUGUGACAACAGCACACUUUUAUAAACACAGAAAUGUCCAAAAACUACCACAUGCAGGCAAAUCUUAUCCAGUGCAUAAAAUGUAUUUGUGAAAACCUUUUUGUGAUCACUAAUUUCAUUUACUUACAGCAUUGUGUGCCCAAAUGGCUGGAAAAGCAGUUUAGAAAGUGAAGUAUCUAAAAAAAAAGAAAACUUGCUAUCGUGAUUACAUCCAUAGAUUUAUGUGGGGAAGCCUUAGAGGCUGUGGUUUUUUGAUAGCUGUUGUAUACCCAAUGAUCAAAGGUAGUUGCAGUGAAUGCAACUUGAAUGCAGUCCUUGCCUAAAUUAUUUUCAUUAGACACUGGCUUUUGCAAAGGAUUGAGGGGACAGUUCCAAAACCAAAUUAAGAUUUUUAUCACAAUGUCUAAUCUCUGUGUGCCUGUCGCUUCAGAGACACAUCAGAAUCUCAAGGUUAGUGACCUUUUUUACAUGUUCAUGGGGAGUAAACCUACAAGUCAGUGACUGUCAGUCGAGGAUUUUUUACAUGUUUCUACAACAGUCUCCAGAAAAUUUCAGGCUGUGGCAAUUUUCUGUCUAUUGACAGGAUGUGAGGUUCAUUCUUCACUAUGCAGGGGAACUGAAGUGUAUCUUGUAAUUGGGAAGUCCUCACCAGAGUACAAACUAUGCUGGCAGCUUAUUUGGUUGGCUUGCCACACUCUCCAGUCUUCAACAAACUUCCAAGGAUGAUAAUCAAGUCACAAAUAAUUGUGUGCAGGCAGCCUUAGCUCCUCCUCCAGCUCUCAUUUAGCUGUCUUGGUGAGAGUGAAUUACUGAAGUUCCUCUCUCUCUGAGAGCACCAGGCAGGCAGCUCAGGCGCCACCCCAAGAAAGGCAGAGUGAAUGAUUUCCAUGAAACACUUCCCAUUGUGCGCUGCCUGUGCAGAACGCCUGGUGUGGGAGCUCAGGCGGGAUGCAGAUCUUUGAGAAGCGCAGAUCAAUCUGACUGAGGGACAUCGAGUGGGAGCAUUUUCUUUCAGUGCUCGGUUAACCCCAGGUACCAGAGAAAGCAGCACAUAACUUUCCAUGGGAAGGUGCCACCUUGGUGGACACAGGUGUGCAGGGGGCCAUCCUACGUGCUCCCACCGCCGCUGUCCACAGGGUGUCUGACCAGCGGUGUGGGCUGGGCUCUCACCAGGUGCACCCUGAGGAGUUGGGACUUCCCAUGUCUUCCUCUGCUGCCAGCUCCCAUGUUUUCAAACACUUUUUUUUGCUCUUACCUCUUCUUAAAAAAAAAAAAAAGAAAGAAAGCUUUAAAAAAUUAUAUAUAUAUAUAUAUAUAUAUAUUUGGGUGUUUUCCCUUUUCCUGUUGCAAUCAUUUAUGGGAGUUUGCGUGUGGGGAGCUGAAGGACUACCGGCUGUGCCUCCCUUCCUGCUUGUCCAGGGUGCGGUUCCUUAUUGCAGCAACUCCCGGCUGCCUGGGACUGGGGGACUGCUCUCUGCUGGACAGGAGGCAGCUGUGGGUUUAUUACAAGGAAUGAUCCCAAGUACCAGUACAGAUUGAUGGUGAUCUGCUGGAAAGCGGCUGUGCUCGGGAAGACCUGGGGUUCCUGAUGAACAUGUUGUCCAUGAGCCAGCAGUGUGCCCUGGUGGCGAAGAAGGCCAAUGGUAUCCUCGGGUGCAUCACUGCCAGUAGGUUGUGGGAGAUGAUUCUGCUCAGGCCUGGUGAGGCCACAUCUGAAGUGCUGAGUCCAGUUCUGGGCUCCCCAGUAUGAGACAUGGAGCUCCUGGAGCAGGUCCAGGUGCUGUGGAUUAAGGGGUUGGAGCAUUUCUCUUACAAGGAAAGGCUGAGGGAGCUGGGCCUGUUCAAUCUCAAGAAGAGACAACUGAGAGGGGUCUCAUCAACGAUUAUCUGAAGGAAAGGUGCCAAGAGCACGAAGCCAGGUUCUGCAGUGGUGAUGAGCAAUAGGACAAGAGGCAAUCGGCAGAAACUGAUGCACAGGAAGUUGCACCUGAAUCUGAGGAAGAACUUCUUGACUGUGCAGGUGACUGUGCUCAAGAACAGAAAGUCCAGAGAGGUUAUGUUCCUUAAAGGAGUUUCAAGAACGAUCUGGCAGAAACCCUGUUCCGUGUGCUCUAGGAUGACCCUGCCAGAGCAGGGAGGCUGGGCCAGGCGACCCAAUGUGGUCCCUUCCAACCUCACCCGUUCUGUGAUCAUAUUAGGUAGGGAAACAGCGUUUCCAAGUAACCAAACAAGUACAUGCGCAUUUCAAACACCAGUCGGGAACACACAAUGGUAUUUCCUUUGCCCUGGAGCACCGCUCCGCCAACCCACAGCGGCCCAGGACGCGCGGGCUCUGAAGGGUCCGGCCCC
ensembl:lncRNA